rnacentral:tRNA from 1 species
GGGGCUGUAGCUCAGCUGGGAGAGCGGUACGUUCGCAACGUAUAGGCCGUCGGUUCGAUCCCGAUCAGCUCCACCA